UUCGCAAUGCCCGAAAGGGUGACGAAGCGACGCCGCGUGCGGGAAGAAGGCCUUCGGGUUGUAAACCGCUGUCGGGAGUUAAGAAAUGUAAGGAUGUUAAUAGCAUCUUUGCUUGACUAAGGCUCCGGAGGAAGCCACGGCUAACUCUGUGCCAGCAGCCGCGGUAAUACAGAGGCGGCAAGCGUUGUUCGGAAUUAUUGGGCGUAAAGAGCACGUAGGCGGCUAUAUAAGUCGGUUGUGAAAGCCUUCCGCUCAACGGAAGAACAGCAUCUGAUACUGCAUGGCUUGAGUGCGGGAGGGGAGAGUGGAACUUCUGGUGGAGCGGUGAAAUGCGUAGAUAUCAGAAGGAACACCGGCGGCGAAGGCGACUCUCUGGCCCGUAACUGACGCUGAGUGUGCGAAAGCUAGGGGAGCAAACGGGAUUAGAUACCCCGGUAGUCCUAGCCGUAAACGAUGGGCACUAAGUAGAGGGGUUUU
rnacentral:rRNA from 1 species